rnacentral:antisense_RNA from 1 species
CCAUUCCAAGGGAGAAACUGAGAUCUGGGAGUUUUCUCUCAAUUGCAUUGUACUGAGGAAGAGGGCCUAUGAGAAUUUUACUAUCUGAGAAGCUGGUGGAGCCUAAAGACCUGAGGAUUUCUUCCUAGCUGCAGCAGAACACGAAUAUCAAUAAGUUCCAAUUGAAGAGCGGAUUCUUUUGCAAUUCAGGCAUGUGCCGGCGAUAACGGGCGAGUUGGCAUGAAGAGAGGCAGAGAUGGAUUAAUUAUGCAGAGAACAUGGAAAUUCUGCUUAUCAUCGGCUAGCAAAGGAGCCCGGCUCACAUAAUCAGCAAACGAAGGGAGAGGAAAAAAUAACAAUGCAAUGGCACCUUCCAGCCCAUCAUCAGGAUUUUUUCUACCCCCUUGUAAUUAAAAAAUAACAUACACUUAUAGCCCUAUCUCCUGUGCAGGCAAGGAGUGGAUGUCCACAAAAUAAUUGCACUGGGAUAUUAGAGCUGGCGACACGGGCUGUCCAUUCCAGCUUGCUCUCCUGCUCACCCUCUCUUUCUCUUUUGGCCUCUCAGGCACUUUGCUUCUGAACCUAGUCCAAAUCAGAGGGAUGUCUCAGGUGACAUUCUAGCUCGGUUUCCAAAAAUCCCAAAUUGGUACCUUAUCAUGAUCCAAGCAAACAUACAUACAUAUAUGAUAAAUAUUUGGAGGGCUGACUCUAGGGGAGGCUUUGGAACUGAUCACCUGUGGACUAUCUGGUCAGUUUCAUUUUUGAUGAAACAUGUCCAAAUAGCCUUCAUUUUGCAAAAUGGCUGGAUUAAAAUGGUGGCUGUGCAGCGGCUGUGCUAUCUUCUCAAAUCAUUUAACUUACCUACAAGUUUUUGUUUCUAUUCCCUUUGACAACUCAUUUUAUAAAUGUAAGUUAAUGAUUGCAAUGUUUGCACCUCAAAAUCAGAAUUCGCAAUUCUGUAUUGUCAUUGUAAAAUCUGACAGCUCAAUGCCUCGUAUUUCUCUAAAUGCCAAAAGACUACAAUGAACCAAGUUUAUUGCUUUAAAGAAAA